rnacentral:rRNA from 1 species
GUCGAGCGGUAAGGCCUUUCGGGGUACACGAGCGGCGAACGGGUGAGUAACGCGUGGGUGAUCUGCCCUGCACUCUGGGAUAAGCCCGGGAAACUGGGUCUAAUACCGGAUAUGACCGCAUGCUGCAUGGUGUGUGGUGGAAAGAUUUAUCGGUGCAGGAUGGGCCCGCGGCCUAUCAGCUUGUUGGUGGGGUAAUGGCCUACCAAGGCGACGACGGGUAGCCGACCUGAGAGGGUGACCGGCCACACUGGGACUGAGACACGGCCCAGACUCCUACGGGAGGCAGCAGUGGGGAAUAUUGCACAAUGGGCGGAAGCCUGAUGCAGCGACGCCGCGUGAGGGAUGAAGGCCUUCGGGUUGUAAACCUCUUUCAGCAGGGACGAAGCGUGAGUGACGGUACCUGCAGAAGAAGCACCGGCUAACUACGUGCCAGCAGCCGCGGUAAUACGUAGGGUGCGAGCGUUGUCCGGAAUUACUGGGCGUAAAGAGUUCGUAGGCGGUUUGUCGCGUCGUUUGUGAAAACCCGGGGCUCAACUUCGGGCUUGCAGGCGAUACGGGCAGACUUGAGUGUUUCAGGGGAGACUGGAAUUCCUGGUGUAGCGGUGAAAUGCGCAGAUAUCAGGAGGAACACCGGUGGCGAAGGCGGGUCUCUGGGAAACAACUGACGCUGAGGAACGAAAGCGUGGGUAGCAAACAGGAUUAGAUACCCUGGUAGUCCACGCCGUAAACGGUGGGCGCUAGGUGU